GGGGAGGUAGUGACAAUAAAUACUGAUACAGGGCUCUUUUUGGGUCUUGUAAUUGGAAUGAGUACAAUUUAAAUCCCUUAACGAGGAACAAUUGGAGGGCAAGUCUGGUGCCAGCAGCCGCGGUAAUUCCAGCUCCAAUAGCGUAUAUUAAAGUUGUUGUGGUUAAAAAGCUCGUAGUUGAACCUUGGGCCUGGCUGGCCGGUCCGCCUCACCGCGUGUACUGGUCCGGCCGGGCCUUUCCCUCUGUGGAACCUCAUGCCCUUCACUGGGUGUGGCGGGGAAACAGGACUUUUACUUUGAAAAA
rnacentral:rRNA from 1 species